CAGUCGCCACGGGAAUACAGAGGGUGCAAGCGUUAAUCGGAAUUACUGGGCGUAAAGCGCGCGUAGGUGGUUUGUUAAGUUGGAUGUGAAAUCCCCGGGCUCAACCUGGGAACUGCAUCCAAAACUGGCAAGCUAGAGUAUGGUAGAGGGUGGUGGAAUUUCCUGUGUAGCGGUGAAAUGCGUAGAUAUAGGAAGGAACACCAGUGGCGAAGGCGACCACCUGGACUGAUACUGACACUGAGGUGCGAAAGCGUGGGGAGCAAACAGGAUUAGAUACCCGAGUAGUCCCUGUCUCUUAUAC
rnacentral:rRNA from 1 species